AUUGAACGCUGGCGGCAUGCCUUACACAUGCAAGUCGAACGGCAGCACGAGCUUCGGUCUGGUGGCGAGUGGCGAACGGGUGAGUAAAGUAUCGGAACGUACCUUUCAGUGGGGGAUAACGUAGCGAAAGUUACGCUAAUACCGCAUAUUCUGUGAGCAGGAAAGCAGGGGAUCGCAAGACCUUGCGCUGAUUGAGCGGCCGAUAUCAGAUUAGCUAGUUGGUGGGGUAAAGGCCUACCAAGGCGACGAUCUGUAGCGGGUCUGAGAGGAUGAUCCGCCACACUGGAACUGAGACACGGUCCAGACUCCUACGGGAGGCAGCAGUGGGGAAUUUUGGACAAUGGGGGCAACCCUGAUCCAGCCAUGCCGCGUGAGUGAAGAAGGCCUUCGGGUUGUAAAGCUCUUUCGGCCGGGAAGAAAUCGCAUGGGCUAAUACCCUGUGUGGAUGACGGUACCGGAAUAAGAAGCACCGGCUAACUACGUGCCAGCAGCCGCCGUAACAC
rnacentral:rRNA from 1 species